rnacentral:lncRNA from 1 species
CUGUGUCUUAAUAAAACGCUUUCCUUAUGUUGCUGUCAUAUUUAAGCAGUACAACUCAGUAUGAGAACCUUUAAAAAAUAGAUACAAAAACUAAAUAAGACUGAAAUAAAUAGGAAAAGAGCAUUUUAAAUCUUGCAGAACAUAGGCAAACUGCCACAUGUCAGGCUGAGGUACUGCUCUUCUCCUAGUCCUGGAUUUAACAUACUGAAACUCAAGAACCACCGUCUGGUAAAAUUUGUGAAGUAAAGAUUUAAGUAAGCUGGAGAAUAAAAGCCAACCCUUUCACCCCAAAGCUAAAACUUCUACAAUUCUCUUAUGGACUGUAGCUCUCAUUCUCAAGGACCUUUACAUUAAGAUGACAACUCAGACUGCUCAAAUUGCCCAAUUGCAAAUUCACUUUGAUGAAAUGAUGACUCAAGGAGACUCAGAGAUUACUUCUGGAGGCAAAGGCAAGGCAAAUUGAUCAGUGCUGUCACUGGUGAGAAGCAGCUCCUGAAGGAAUAGUUCUAAAAU